AGUUUUAUAAGUUUAGCAAAUUAACAUAAUUGACAAAAAUCACCAAUUAGGAGCACAAGUAAUGAAGUACUUCUUCCC